rnacentral:lncRNA from 1 species
CUGAACAAUGAUCCCCGGUCAGUAUUUAAAGCUCUAGAUAGAUUUAAAGUCUAAGGUACUUAGAUUUGAGGAGGCAGUCUGAGAUAUUUGAGAAAAAAAUCUAACUCUGAUGUUUGACUUAAACAAUAAUUCUGGCCGUAUCUGGAUUGAAAACAAUAAUCUUGUCCAUUUUUUUUUAUUAUUAGAAACGACAAUUUCCAACAGAAUUAUUUAGCAUUAAAUGAACAUUGGGGCUGGGUUUCCAUGUCUUACCGGAAUGUCUGUUUCGCCGAACUGAUAUAUUGAAUACUUUUUUCAAAACCAGACUGCAACCUGUCUACUGGGUGUGGCCUUAAUGUCUCCAUUUGUCGACCGGCAUUCAUAAAUUCGUUGUCAUUUCAGACUCAUUCGUAGCCUUUUGGUUGAUUUGGAACCC